rnacentral:rRNA from 1 species
UACAGAGGUGGCAAGCGUUGUUCGGAAUUACUGGGCGUAAAGGGCGCGUAGGUGGCCUUUUGAGUCAGACGUGAAAUCCCCCGGCUUAACCUGGGAACUGCGUCUGAUACUGGGAGGCUUGAGUUCGGGAGAGGGAUGUGGAAUUCCAGGUGUAGCGGUGAAAUGCGUAGAUAUCUGGAGGAACACCGGUGGCGAAGGCGGCAUCCUGGACCGAAACUGACACUGAGGCGCGAAAGCCAGGGGAGCAAACGGG